AACACCUGGGGAUCUUAUUAAAAUGCAUGUUUUAAUUCUGUAAGUCUGGAUUGGGGCCUGAGAUUCUGCAUUCCUAAUAAGCUCCCAAGUGCUGCUGC
rfam:Macaca mulatta chromosome X, whole genome shotgun sequence.